rnacentral:lncRNA from 1 species
UUGGCUCUCUGCUUGUGUAUUGUUGGUGUAAAGGAAUGCUUGUAAUUUUUGCACAUCAAUUUUCUAUCCUGAGACUUUGCUAAAGUUGCUUAUCAGCUUUAGACUGGAUAAAGCAAAUGUGUUACAUGUACACCAUAGAAUACUAUGCAGCCAAAAAAGAACACUGUGCCAAUUAGUAAUCUGAGUUCUGUGGAUCAAAGAUUAAUAAGAAAGAAUCACUUCAGUUUAGUAGGCCAUUAUCUACUAGGGAAAUAAAUACAAAUAAAUAGUUACAAGCACAUUUUAUAAUUCUUUAUUAUAAUGUCCAUUAGAAACAAAAGUAUAAAAAGUAUAGCAAC